GCAGACACAUUCCAGCCAAUCAGCAGCAGACCCUCCCUCCCAGACCCUCCCACCUCCUGGACAGCAUCCAUUUUACAUUCAUUGUGAUGCUGCAUUCUUAGUGAGCUGUCCAGGAGGUGGGAGGGUCUGGGAGGGAGGGUCUGCUGCUGAUUGGCUGGAAAGUGUCUG